ACAUUCCUUCGGGGCAGGGUGAAAUUCCCGACCGGCGGUGAUCAUGCUUUAUGCAUGUUAAGCCCGCGAGCCUCCCGAGCUGAUAGGUAGCGACGGAGUGCAGGAUCUGGUGUGAUUCCAGAGCCGACAGUACAGUCUGGAUGGGAGAAGGAUGAC
rnacentral:ncRNA from 2 species